UGUCCAGCUGAAACAGAAAAUUAAAAACAGAUAGAACGGAAAAAAUAUUCAAGCGAUCGCGUUCGUCACCGUUCUAAUACGACCGGAUGUUUUAACGCGGAAGCUUCGCACGCGCGUAGCAUUCAUACGCGGCGCCGGCGUUACGUUUCAAUUUUCAAUCGUACAUCAUCUUUCAGCGAAUUGACCGAUAAUUGUCCCUCGCCUUUGUAUCAGCUUUGUAUCAGCUUUAUAUCAGACAAUAAACAGUUUCGCUUUUCAAUAUCGAGUCUUACCCAAUCUGUGAUCAUCGGUCGAUGUCUUCUCGUACACGGUAACGGUAACGAUGCGCUAGAACCGCGCGACUCAUCGGAGCUUCUCUCUCCGAAUCAAAUCUCUGACAGCUUCUACCACGUAAAAAUUCCCGAUAUCUCUUGCCACUUCUUACAUCGAUACUUUUCAAAUUUUUCAAUGUACGAACCGAUCGAACACGACGUUAUCACGAUAUUACCACGAUCUCUCGCAAAAAGAUAUCUUUCGCGAUAAAGAGAACUUCGUAAAGUUGGUGAUUUUCGCGAUUAUUCGUCGCACGAGGUUUGUUUUCACACAGCGGUAAAUCGACAACGCGGGCGUAUCUCUGGCUCGGAUAGGCACUGAAUCGUAGAGCGAAACGUAUCCUCGAAGUAACCUCGCGAGCGGAUGGUAAGAUCAAGUUAACGGCAUUAAGAACAGCGAGUCAUCGAACGGGUCGAAAGAAGGGAAGUUUGAGAUCGCGUUAGUCAGAGUGGCGGAUUGGAGAGACGCGCGUGCGUAGUCGAUGUGAGUCUACCCACGACCGGCCGAGUAGAUCGUCGUCGUAUCAUGUCGCGCAUCGGUGUUUACACGUUCGCGUCUCUCGAUGCGUUCACCGACGGAUUCAGGCAACCAAACGUUUCUUCGAUCUUUCUCACGUUUAUCGCAACGCUACUUUCUCCGACAAUUUCAGUCCCUUACGAUCGUUCCAGCGCAGUUCCUUUCCUUUUCUCGUCUCGCCAGAAUUCUUUCUCUCGCUCUCUGAUUCUUAACUUUCGUUCUUUCGCGUAAAAUGGGCAAACGCGUAAUUAUUCCAAUAUCAAUAGAAUCGCAUUCGUCACCCCCUAAGAAGGACCGAGUGUUGACGAUUCUCAGGUCCGGUGUCUCCUACGUGAUACUUCUCGUUGUACGUCAUAACCGCGAAUAGCUCAAGGUUGCGGCAGUUCGUAUAAAAACGUGGUCUCAAAAUGAUGGAAGCGUCACUCGUGCCACAAAAGGUAUUACGUUUCGAUACGACUUCGCUUUCAAGACACAUGUCUAAACGCUAACCUUCCUAUUGACUAUAAAAACUGCAACAACAAUUCGUUGAUAACGCUGAACGUGACAAACAAGAAAUAUGUCGACGCAGAGUCACAUAGUACGAGAAACGAAAUAUCUUUCGCGCGUGCAUGAGAUCAGUUGUGCGAAUAAUCGAUGAUGUAAUCCACUAAACUGACAGCUGACUCUACUUUCCUUUAAUUUUUUCGUCCGUUGUCUCUUAUUCCUCUCGUUCCCUACUUGUUCCUGCGUCGGAAGAGCCAACUAUAACCGCUCUCGUAGGUUGUACUUACUUUAAAUACCAAUUCUCGAUUAUUUAUACCUCAACCGUUAGAAAUAAACAUAGCGUAAAGUGUUAGAAAUCUUUUGAAUUUGUGGAAUGUGAAUAAUGGAAGAGAGAAAACCGGUUUUCAUUCUCCAAACUCUUUUAAAAUUCUUGAAAAUAUUGGAAAAGAUCUCAGUUACAGUAAAAGAGGAGAAAAAAGAAUGAGGAAAGGAACGAAGAAGGAGAUGAAGGGAAUGAGAGAGAGAGAGAGUGGGGUCAGAGGUGUGGAAGCGACAGAAACCGAUAUGAAAAAAAGAUGAAAUGGAAAGAGUCAAGCUGAUUGUACGUGAUAAUGUUUUAAGCUUGGAAAAGCAACAACAGGUGGUUCCAGAAACCAAACUACUACGUAUGAUUAAAUGAUAAUCAAAUAUCAUGUACAAUAUCUUUAUAUUAAACUAAAGUGUAAUAAAUCAAAGCUAGUAAAUAAUGACUAUCGUUCUUGACUCUUAUCUUUGAUUCUUAUUUAAGCAAUGUAAAUUAAAUUUUAAAUGGAUCAAGCUGUUACCAAACUAUUCUAUACAAAAAAAUUUUCUCAAUAUGAAAUAUUUGCUGAAAAUGACGAUACCAUGAAAGUAGUACCAGUAAAAGUAGUUAAUUCCGAUAAUACAUUUUACUUGAAUAUAAAAUGACCUUUUUUACACAAUUGUUUUUUAUACUUACCUGAUUUGAUUUAAAAUUUUAUUCAUCAAGGGAUACACUUUUGGUAACCAUAAAUUCAGCGUUGUUCGCAUUCAUUCGUAACUUGUAUAAAAUUAAUUCGGCAAUCAAACUUAAUAAUUUGCAAUAAACCAUAGGAAAAAUACUUGCAAUUUCUUGAGCGAACUAAAAUGAUCUUUCCACAGAUAAAUAUUCAUUUCAUCCGUUAUGACAAUGGAACACCUGCCAAUACGAUACAACCUCCUAAGAAGAGAAAAAUUGUCAAGUUAUUAACUAAAAUUUCUACACUUUCACACAAAAAGGUAAUGGACUAUAAAACGCUGAUAACGAAUUACAUCGACUAGGGAAAGAAAACCGUCACAUCAGUUAAUAUUCGUUAAACGAAUAACCGUACCACAACGAGUAGCAUGCGGAGAAACGUUGCUCGAACAGCAGCGCCAAUCAGCAACGAGCCUCGAAUGCUAGUUUCGCCGCAAAUACCUAUCUACGUCGGUAUUGUAGAAAUUCUUUUAUCGCUAUUGACUGUUGCCUUCCUCCUAUAACUCUCUUGCGUAUUAUAUUCUAACGGUAGACGCGUAACCAACACCAAACGAUAUUGUAAUACUCUAGUAAUUAUUACAUUACAUAUAAUCUAUAGAUAUAUAUAUAUAUUCCUUAUUCCUUACAUAAAAAAAACAUUUAUCUAUUCGUAAACUUUCUCAUAUUACCGUAGUGUGAAAUGAUAUCGAAUAACGAGUUUUAUAGAAUGCAAAACAUUUAUUGGUUUAUAUAGAUUUCAUUAAAUUUAAACUAUAUCAGUUCUGUGCAUACAUAUUAAAGUAGAGUUAUUACCGCUGAUCACAUUAAAAAUGUAUGUACAAUGCGCGAUUUCACUGUUAUUCGUGUACCGAACUACUGCUAGGUAGAAAUUGAUGAACAAAUAUUAAUCCUCCUGGAAAUUUCUCUUUCCAAAAAGAUAAUUUUAUGUCUGAAUUCGUUUCUACUAGUAUCGCUCGUGUAAACACAAUGAAUGCGAUGUUGCUAUAAAAAUAUAUCUUUAAUGAAAGAUAAAACGACUGCUUCUUCGAUUGAUUCGAUCUAGUUUACGAAAUAUUAAAUUUUUCUUUUUCUUAUGGAAUUUCUUACUAUAUUUAUUUAGAAACAUGCACUAUAAAGGAGAAAUCGAGUUACUAUCUCACACGAUAUACAUACUGACUAUUCGUAGUUAGACAUUAUGUACAUAAAAUUAACUUCGCGGUUGAUUUUAGACGAUAUACGUAUGUAUACAUACAUAUAUGCGAGGGGUUGUAUGUAAAUAAAUACAUACAUAAAUCUAUGCGUAUGUGUCAACGAUAUUUUGUUAGUUAAUAUGUAUUAUACAUGCUAAACUCGUUUCAAUGAAAUAAUAAUUAAAGGUACAUCGAUCGCAUUGUUGUACAGUACGUACGCGAUACUGUUAGCAGGCGAUUGGAAUAAAAAGAUAUAUGCGUUUCGUAAGAUUAUAUGCAAGGGAUAACGCGAAUUAAACUUUAUAAUACAGUUUAAUUUCAAAGAUUAAAAAAUUUGUACAGUCUCAACAAAUAUCUUUCAUCCGAGAUUAAGAAAUCGAAAUGUGCUCGCUUCAACUCGGUAAUCGGAUCGUUAUUUUACAAAUGACAAGGAUAUAUCUAGUUUCUUACGAAAUUUCAACUAACCUCGGUCCACCACGUAAACAAUAGCUUUUCACAGUAAUAAUAUAUAUUGCCUGUUGUAUCGCGGUAAUUAAUUCAUGGAUAAUAAAUUUACCAAAAUUACUAUACCGAGGAUUUAAAAGCUCGUGAAACUUAAAAAACAUUUUUGAUAGGAAGAGAAAGUAACUGGCAAUGUUUGAAAUUACGAUCUUAUGCUACAGAAGGAGGGAGUGUUAUGCCGGGUUGCAAUGUAACGCUAUACAUAAUUUAAUGUAAAUCCGACAUAUGUGUUAAUUCCAACUCUGACAUGUCGAAUCACUUGUUGAUUUCACGAUCGUUAUAGACAUUGAAAAAUAAUGCAAUCUUUUUUUGUAUCAUUUUUAUAAUUUUUUCCCUUUUUCUUGCAAAAAUGACGUAAUGCUAUAUCGCGGAAGCGAAAACUAUACUCUUUUUCGCAUCCGAUUAUAAAAUAUAUGAAAUCAUUCAUUCAUCAGAGUCGUUCUAUGUACAAGCUAAAUGUACAUAAGAAUUUAUAAAUAUAUACUGCAAUAAAAAAAGUAACCGUUUAUACUGUGCACCAAAGGCCAUGUCGUCGUAUAUUUUAAAUCGCUUUCCAUGCUUUUGCUAGUUGCCACUAUAAUUCUUGCGACCAUUUCACACUAGGUACGCAACAUUUUAUUCGAUAAUAAUCCUGUUCUUAAAAUACGCAUUAAAUCAGUUGCAAACAGAUAUUAUGAAAUAAUUGGCGAAUACACGACGGACAAGACGAAAUCGUUAAGUUCGCGUGUCUCUGUAAUGUUCGCGAUAUAAUUAUACAUACUACAGAUCCAAGUUUUCAAUACGCUAAUUGUUACAUAAAAACAUUGCCAUAUUUCAGCACUUCAUAUAGAAACUUACAUAAUCAUUGCAUAUGUAACUCCUAUACCUUUUCAAAGAUACGACGCAAACGAAUGAACAAUCAACUAUUUUCGUAUAUAAAUGUUAAUCUUACGUAAAGAUUAAACAUUAUCUUAUAUAAUUAAUCCUGAUUAACAAAUAACUUUAUCAUAGCAUACUGUUUCACAUUCAAAACGUUAUGCGAAAUUAGUAAAUCACCAGUUACCUCAAUGCAAUCUCUCUUUAUCUUUUUUGCAAGUUGGAUUACGGGUACAGCAUUGCCAUUUACCUAGCAGAAACACGCGAGUAUGUUUUAGUUCGAAAUAAAAAUAAAAAGACUGCCACUCUCACUCUCCUUCUCCCCUCGUUCGCCGAGGAAAAAGAAAAUUAGUUAAAAAAAAAAAAAAAAAAAAAUAAAACGGAAUGGAA